UGAAGCUUGAAACUCUUUAAAUGUAUAGCCUAGAAGAUGUCUGAACUGUUUAUUUAUAUUGUUGUUGUUUUUUAAGAUUCUGCAGGUACCAGAUGUGGAGACCAACACAGCCUUCAGAGAUCCAUUGAACAGAUGUUUCUUGGUGUUCAUCAAAAAAAAGCCAGCCUUUAUAAUCAUACUGACAGCAACAAAAUUCAACACCUGCGACGAUGGAAACUGGGGGAAGAGAAGAAAAAACUCAUGGAAACAAUCAAGCUCUACAAUGAGCAAGUGCUGGAAGCAGAGCGCAUCGUUGAGGAGGUGGUGGAAAGCAAACUGUCUGUAGUAGGAGGAGACAGUGGGGCGGACAGUCUAAUAUGGCUGUGGGAAGUGCACAGCAGUGAAUCCAGCAAUAUCCUCACCAAAAAGAAGGUUUUUG